rnacentral:misc_RNA from 1 species
GAUGAAGAACGCAGCGAAAGGCGAUACGUAAUGUGAAUUGCAGAAUUCAGUGAAUCAUCGAAUCUUUGAACGCAUAUUGCGCUCUCUGGUAUUCCGGAGAGCAUGCUUGUUUGAGUAUCAGUAAACACCUCAACUUCCAUAUCUUUUUUGAAAUGGGAGUUGGACUUGAGUGAUCCCAACGCUUUUCCUCACCGAAAAGUGGCGGGUUACUUGAAAUGCAGGUGCAGCUGGACUUUUCUCUGAGCUAUAAGCAUAUCUAUUUAGUCUGCCUAAAAAACAGAUUAUUACCUUUGCUGCAGCUAACAUAAAGGAGAUUAGUUCUUGUGCUGACUGAUGCAGGAUUCACAAAGACAGGCUUCGGCCGACUUUGUAAACUCGAUCUCAAAUCAAGUAAGACUACCCGCUGAACUUAAGCAUAUCAAUAAGCGGAGGA